UACCAGCACCCCGAGUGGUCGGGACGAUUAUUGGGCCUAAAGCAUCCGUAGCCGGUCCUACAAGUCUUCCGUUAAAUCCACCUGCUUAACAGAUGGGCUGCGGAAGAUACCAUAGGGCUAGGAGGCGGGAGAGGCAAGCGGUACUCGAUGGGUAGGGGUAAAAUCCGUUGAUCCAUUGAAGACCACCAGUGGCGAAGGCGGCUUGCCAGAACGCGCUCGACGGUGAGGGAUGAAAGCUGGGGGAGCAAACCGG
rnacentral:rRNA from 1 species